rnacentral:rRNA from 1 species
AACGAACGCUGGCGGCAUGCCUAACACAUGCAAGUCGAACGAGACCUUCGGGUCUAGUGGCGCACGGGUGCGUAACGCGUGGGAACCUGCCCUUAGGUUCGGAAUAACUCCCCGAAAGGGGUGCUAAUACCGGAUAAUGUCUUCGGACCAAAGAUUUAUCGCCUUUGGAUGGGCCCGCGUUGGAUUAGCUAGUUGGUAGGGUAAAAGCCUACCAAGGCGACGAUCCAUAGCUGGUCUGAGAGGAUGAUCAGCCACACUGGGACUGAGACACGGCCCAGACUCCUACGGGAGGCAGCAGUGGGGAAUAUUGGACAAUGGGCGAAAGCCUAAUCCAGCAAUGCCGCGUGAGUGAUGAAGGCCUUAGGGUUGUAAAGCUCUUUUAACCGGGAUGAUAAUGACAGUACCGGGAGAAUAAGCUCCGGCUAACUCCGUG